rnacentral:tRNA from 1 species
GGGGAAGUAGUCUAAUGGUUAAGACAAUAGCCUUUUAAGCCAUUUAUAUUGGUUCAAUUCCAAUCUUCCUCA